GCCGGGAUGGCGAAACUGGGAAACGCGCUGGCCCUAGGAGCCAGUGGGGAAACCCUUGAGAGUUCGACUCUCUCUCCCGGCA
rfam:Candidatus Wildermuthbacteria bacterium RIFCSPHIGHO2_02_FTLL_49_9 rifcsphigho2_02_scaffold_19157, whole genome shotgun sequence.